rnacentral:ribozyme from 14 species
UCCCGUACAAAGACAGCCAAAAUGAAGUUGGAAAGAAAAAAAAGAAAAAGAAAAAAGAGAGAGUG